AAAAUAAUUCCAAAAUACCAUAGUAUUGCAGUAUGCAUUGAUACCUUGCAUACUGCAAUACUCUGGUAUUUUGGCAUAAUAUAUAUUUUU